AGAAACACUAUUAUUCCCAAAGCCAUAGCCACAGUCUGCUUGAUUGAGUUAGCUGUAUCUUCUCAAAUCUGCAGCUUUAAAUUCAUUCAACAACCCAUAUAAGUUAAAAAUUGAAGAAUUAUAGUUUCGUCAACUCUUCAUUCUAUCACCAAUUUAAAGAUGGAUCGUACUUACUGGAUGUACCAUACCACACGUACAAGCUCGAUGUUUACGGAUGGCGUUCGAAAUUUUCUUAGGGUUGCCGAAACAAAUCGAUUGAAUAGUGGAAGUGGAUUGAUUUGUUGCCCUUGUACAAUUUGUAAAAAUUUCCAAAGAUUUAACGAUAUCAAAGACAUACAGUUUCAUUUGAUUA